AAUUUGUUGUUGGUAAACAAGAGCUACUGGACUAUUAUGCACAGGGGAAUGGAAGGAAAGAAAAAAUUCAAGCUUUUAAUACAAAUUGGAAAUUGAGAGACACUAAACAAACGAUAGGUAAAAUUGACCACUACUUUCUUUCCGUUUAAAUAUAAAUCAAUUGAUUAAGUCUGUGUUUUAAAAUGAAGUUUCAAUUGUUUUCAAAUUCUAAUAACGAUCUCCUACGCUUUAAGAUAAUCUAUUUAGAGUUUUGAUCCACUUUUAAUUACACAGAAUUUCAAUUUUUUUUCAUAUAAAGUUUCCAUUUUGCUUGAGUAAGAGAAGAAGCUUUAAUUUGGGUUUACAAUUUUUCCCUUUGUAGAUUUUCAAAGUAGGACCAAGCUUUAAAAAGGCACUUCAGGUUCUGGAAUUAUUAUUAUUAUUAUUAUUAUUUAUUUUUUGUUAAGCUUUGUUAUAUCAGGUUCUAAAUUGCGCAUACCAUUUCUUUAAAUUAGAGAAAAUUAAGCACGAUCUUGCUUAUAUACAUAUUGUUAUUUUAAGAAACAAUUUUGUUUGUCUUUUCUAUAAUAAGAACAGCAAUUUACUUUUGGGUUUCGUUCUUAACUGAUUUAUGAAUUUAUGCCCAAGUCUAAUCUACUCCAAAGACAGGCUGAGCAAAAGGAGGAACGUUUAAGCAGGUAUGUGUACUAUGUGUUUUAUUCGUUCUUAACUUCAUUGUUGGUUUCUGUACUAUUUUUCUGUGUCUAAAAAUUUGAAAUAAAUAUGAUCUAUUCACUAUUGAUUCUCAUUCCAAGUUUUUUCCACAGAAAAUAAAAUAACAAAUAAAUAUUUUGUUUCCCUUCUUCUACUUUGUUCUUUUGCAGCAAAACAAGCAUGAUUUUGUUGGUACUGCUUAUUUAGGGAAGCAACGGUUUCAUAUUGUGAACUGUUUUGCGUGUUUAUCACUUUAUUCUUUAUGGUUUCAAUUUCCUAAAUGAAGUUUGACAUGUAUGGAAUUUCACAAUUUACAACCAUAAACUUCAUUUCUCCCACGGACCUUUUUUGUUCCUUAUUGUUGAUAGAGUUGUAAAUAAAUUUGCACAUGUAUGUAAAUAGUAUUGUCUACUGUAUAUACAUAUAUAAUUUUUUUAGAAUAUCUAUGUGUUAUACAAUUUUCAUUCCCGCAGCAACGCGCGGGCAUCCUUGCUAGUCUUGUCUAUAGCCGAAACUUUGUUUUGCUUGUGUAAUCUUAACUUCCUGGACAAUGCUAAACCGUAAACAUUGUUCAGUUUAAUAAGAAAUAAAAUUGCAGAAUAUGUGUUUUGAAGCACCUAAAACCAGGUGAUGGAUACCUUUUCAAUGAAAAAAAGGCAACCUUUUGAAGCAAAGCAUGAUGGUUCUAUCCUUUUUUUUUUCUUGACAAACAAUAGUGUUGCUAGGUUCAAUUGUUAGUGUUCGGGAGGAGGUGAUGCGUAGAGAUCGAACCCGCACCAAGGUGCAUAGGCAUGAUUGUUUUCCGCCACUGCGGUCAAGUGUCAUCUGAAACAUUUAUAUCCUUUAAAGCUUUCUAGUUAGGAAUAACACCUAUAUUUUUCCUUACAAGCAGGUGAUGGAUACCUUUCAAAUGAAACAAUGGCAACCCUUUUGAAGCAAAGCAUAACAUUUCUAUAAUAGCUGACACUUGUCAAGCUUAGAUAUAAUGAGUUAGUUAGUAUUGUUGUGAUAAGAAGUGGUAGUUGAAGGGUAUUUUGUAAUAGUAUAGAAGAUGAAAAUACUAUAGAACCUAAAAUGUAGUGCUCUAAGAGGAAGUAUAUUGUUGAUAAAGAAAUACAAUAAGCCUUUCUCUUUCUCUCUCUCUCUCUCUUUCUUCCUUAAUUCGAUAUCAUCUCUUAGUUCCAUAGUUCUUCCAUUGUUGCUAGUAUUUUGUUUCCUCAGAGAUUAAUAUGGUAUCAUCGCCGGUGUUUGGCUUGCUGCUGUAGUCGGUCUUGAAGGUUCUUCCGCUGCAAUCAUUGAAAGAUCUGGGUUAUCGUUGCCUAAGAGGGUUUCUCGAAGAUUUGUUUUUGAUCUGGGUUUUGCGAUGCGUUCUUGGUGAAUCUGCUAUUCUUAGGUGAUAUCUAAUUGGUUCUUGAGAUAAAGUUCUAUUGCGAUUUCUAUGAUUGAUCUAUGAGUAAUUGAUUUGUUGAAGUAAUAUGAUGUGUUUGAUGAUGAUUGUAUUUGUGGUGAAGUUUGGGAAUUUUUCUUCUGAUGGAUGAGUUCUGUGUUCUAGAUUGUAAUUGUGUUCAAUAAUUUUGUUGAAUCUUGUGUGUUCCAGAAAGUAUCAGUCUUUCUUGGUAGAGUUUGUGUGAUUUCAAGAAAGUAUCAAUCUUUCUUAGGUGUUGGGCUAAUUCAAGAAAGUACCAGUCUUUCUUGUUCAAACAGAAAGUAUAUGUCUUUCUUUCUUGUUGAUAAAAUUUGAAGAGUGUCAAUCUCUUGGUAAACAGAAGAAAUCAAAGAGUGUCAAUCUCUUGGUGAAUGAUAGAAAUCGAAGAGUGUCAAUCUCUUGGUGA
rnacentral:lncRNA from 1 species